rnacentral:lncRNA from 10 species
GCUGCAGGACAGGUUGGCUACUGGCUGAUCUUUGGAACUAGAAACAUCAUUUUGCUCCUUAAAUGAUUAAAAAAGGCACACAUGGGGCUUCUUUGUGUUAGUUCUUUUGUAUCUCCAUAUCCUGUCCCUGCAUGGAUUAUUUUGGUGCAUGCUGCAGACUUGUUUUUGGAACUUGAAUCCUGAGCAAGUGAGAAGACUUACUGGAUGCUGUUCAAGGCUCUGCAUGACAAACCUUGCACAAAUACAAGUAGAUUGCCACAGUAUAUUGACCUUGGAUGCCAGCCAUGGCUGGGGCACAGGAAGCGCCCCAGCAGAGAAGCCACUCUCUUUUUGACUUCAGGGACAGGAUCUGCAUGAAGGAGAAAGUGUGUGACUCAAUUAAGAUACAAUUAAGAUCCUCCUCCAUGGUCUCCCUUUUAUCUAGUGUCCUCAUUAUCCUGGUUUCUUUUCUUCUUGCUGUGGGGAUGGCACUGCCGUUGCAUGCUGAUGAGCAUGUCUGUGGCCCAACUUCUGAACUAGAGAUUUCUGAGUAAUUAAUUUGGAUUUAAGCUU